AGCGAACGCUGGCGGCAGGCCUAACACAUGCAAGUCGAGCGCUCAUCUUCGGAUGGGAGCGGCGCACGGGUGAGUAACACGUGGGAACCUACCUUGAAGUAUGGAAUAACUGAGGGAAACUUCAGCUAAUACCGUAUACGCCCUACGGGGGAAAGAUUUAUCGCUUCAAGACGGGCCCGCGUUGGAUUAGCUAGUUGGUGAGGUAAUGGCUCACCAAGGCGACGAUCCAUAGCUGAUUUGAGAGAAUGAUCUGCCACACUGGGACUGAGACACGGCCCAGACUCCUACGGGAGGCAGCAGUGGGGAAUAUUGGACAAUGGGCGCAAGCCUGAUCCAGCCAUGCCGCGUGAGUGAUGAAGGCCUUCGGGUUGUAAAGCUCUUUCAGAUGGGACGAUGAUGACGGUACCAUCAGAAGAAGCCCCGGCUAACUUCGUGCCAGCAGCCGCGGUAAUACGAAGGGGGCUAGCGUUGUUCGGAAUUACUGGGCGUAAAGCGCGCGUAGGCGGCUUUGUCAGUCAGGGGUGAAAUCCCGGGGCUUAACCUCGGAACUGCCUUUGAUACUGCAAGGCUUGAGUCUGUGAGAGGAUGGUGGAAUACCCAGUGUAGAGGUGAAAUUCGU
rnacentral:rRNA from 1 species